CGGGGGAGACACCGUGGUCACACAGGCGGGUGUCCCAGGGCGAGGCUCACCCAUUGCACUUGGCAUGAGCUGACCCCUGUGAUUUCCCCAAAUGUGGGAGACUCCACUG
ensembl:snRNA U1 U1 spliceosomal RNA